UUCGGUGGCAAUGUCGGAGGGGUCAUACCCGAUCCCAUCUCGAACUCGGAAGUCAAGCCCUCCAGAGCCGAUGGUACUGCAGAGUUUCUCUGUGGGAGAGUAGGACGCCGCCGGAU
rnacentral:rRNA from 2 species